rnacentral:rRNA from 1 species
UAGGGAAUCUUCGGCAAUGGACGAAAGUCUGACCGAGCAACGCCGCGUGAGUGAAGAAGGUUUUCGGAUCGUAAAACUCUGUUGUUAGAGAAGAACAAGGACGUUAGUAACUGAACGUCCCCUGACGGUAUCUAACCAGAAAGCCACGGCUAACUACGUGCCAGCAGCCGCGGUAAUACGUAGGUGGCAAGCGUUGUCCGGAUUUAUUGGGCGUAAAGCGAGCGCAGGCGGUUUCUUAAGUCUGAUGUGAAAGCCCCCGGCUCAACCGGGGAGGGUCAUUGGAAACUGGGAGACUUGAGUGCAGAAGAGGAGAGUGGAAUUCCAUGUGUAGCGGUGAAAUGCGUAGAUAUAUGGAGGAACACCAGUGGCGAAGGCGGCUCUCUGGUCUGUAACUGACGCUGAGGUGCGAAAGCGUGGGGAGCAAACAGG